rfam:Caldanaerobius fijiensis DSM 17918 genome assembly, contig: EJ21DRAFT_scaffold00049.49
AAGUUAAUAAGAGCUUAACCGUAGACAGCAGGUGAUUUAUGCUUAAAGAGAUUAUAAAAUCUCGCCUGCCGAGGUUGUGAGAAGUUAAAGAGAAGUAUAAAAGGCCUCACUGUGUCUACGGGGGGCCUUUUAUUAAUUGUCGC